UGGGGAAUUUUACGCAAUGGGGGAAACCCUGACGUAGCGACACCGCGUGAGCGAAGAAGCCCUUUGGGGUGUAAAGCUCUGUCAGCUGGAACGAAAACAAUGACGGUACCAGCAGAGGAAGCAUCGGCUAACUACGUGCCAGCAGCCGCGGUAAGACGUAGGAUGCGAGCGUUGUCCGGAUUUAUUGGGCGUAAAGAGUUCGUAGGUGGUUUGUUAAGUUUGGUGUUAAAGAUCGGGGCUCAACCCUGGGACUGCACUGAAUACUGGCAGACUCGAGUGUGGUAGAGGCUAGUGGAAUUCCCAGUGAAGCGGUGAAAUGCGUAGAUAUUGGGAAGAACACCGGUGGCGUAGGCGACUAGCUGGGCCAUAACUGACGCUGAGGAACGAAAGCCAGGGGAGCGAAUGGG
rnacentral:rRNA from 1 species